GGCGGUUCUCAGGUGACACACCCUGGGAUUGGGCUCCCUCUUCUCUGGUUCUGGGUGCGUCACCCGAAAAUUGCU
rfam:Myotis davidii contig171481, whole genome shotgun sequence.